rnacentral:rRNA from 1 species
GAAAGGCGGGCUAAACCCGCGUACAUGCCACCGGGGCAUCCCGGAGGCAGGAAAGGCUUCGGCCGGACAGGGAUGGGCAUGCGGCGCAUUAGGCAGUAGGCGGGGUAGCGGCCCACCUAACCGACGAUGCGUAGGGGUUCUGAGAGGAAGGUCCCCCACACUGGUACUGAAACACGGACCAGACUCCUACGGGAGGCAGCAGUGAGGAAUAUUGGUCAAUGGUCGGGAGACUGAACCAGCCAAGCCGCGUGAGGGAUGAAGGUACAGAGUAUCGUAAACCUCUUUUGUCAGGGAACAAAGGCGGGGACGUGUCCCCGGAUGAGUGUACCUGAAGAAAAAGCAUCGGCUAACUCCGUGCCAGCAGCCGCGGUAAUACGGAGGAUGCGAGCGUUAUCCGGAUUUAUUGGGUUUAAAGGGUGCGCAGGCGGUCUGUUAAGUCAGCGGUCAAAGCCCGGGGCUCAACCCCGGCCCGCCGUUGAAACUGGCAGUCUCGAGUUGGAGAGAAGUAUGCGGAAUGCGCGGUGUAGCGGUGAAAUGCAUAGAUAUCGCGCAGAACUCCGAUUGCGAAGGCAGCAUGCCGGCUCCACACUGACGCUGAGGCACGAAAGCGUGGGUAUCGAACAGGAUUAGAUACCCUGGUAGUCC